GGAGGAAAGCAGGGGAUCGCAAGACCUUGCGCUCAUUGAGCGGCCGAUGCCUGAUUAGCUAGUUGGUGAGGUAAAGGCUUACCAAGGCGACGAUCAGUAGCUGGUCUGAGAGGACGACCAACCACACUGGGACUGAGACACGGCCCAGACUCCUACGGGAGGCAGCAGUGGGGAAUUUUGGACAAUGGGGGAAACCCUGAUCCAGCCAUGCCGCGUGAGUGAAGAAGGCCUUCGGGUUGUAAAGCUCUUUCAGCCGGAACGAAACGGUCACGGCUAAUACCUGUGACCACUGACGGUACCGGAAGAAGAAGCACCGGCUAACUACGUGCCAGCAGCCGCGGUAAUACGUAGGGUGCGAGCGUUAAUCGGAAUUACUGGGCGUAAAGCGUGCGCAGGCGGUUUUGUAAGU
rnacentral:rRNA from 1 species